AAAGGUACUCCGGGGAUAACAGGCUGAUCUCCCCCAAGAGUUCACAUCGACGGGGAGGUUUGGCACCUCGAUGUCGGCUCAUCGCAUCCUGGGGCUGUAGUCGGUCCCAAGGGUUUGGCUGUUCGCCAAUUAAAGCGGUACGCGAGCUGGGUUCAGAACGUCGUGAGACAGUUCGGUCCCUAUCUGCCGUGGGCGUAGGAAAAUUGAGAGGAGCUGCCCCUAGUACGAGAGGACCGGGGUGGACGUGCCAAUGGUGUUCCGGUUGUUCUGCCAAGAGCAUCGCCGGGUAGCUAAGCACGGAAGGGAUAACCGCUGAAAGCAUCUAAGUGGGAAGCCCACCUCGAGAUGAAUUUUCCCAACGAGACCCGUGGAAGACCACCACGUUGAUAGGUCGGAUGUGGAAGCGCUGCGAAGCGUGAAGCUUACCGAUACUAAUUGGUCCAUUGACUAUUCUGC
rnacentral:rRNA from 1 species